rnacentral:rRNA from 1 species
CCUACGGGAGGCAGCAGUGGGGAAUCUUGCGCAAUGGGCGAAAGCCUGACGCAGCCAUGCCGCGUGAAUGAUGAAGGUCUUAGGAUUGUAAAAUUCUUUCACCGAGGACGAUAAUGACGGUACUCGGAGAAGAAGCCCCGGCUAACUUCGUGCCAGCAGCCGCGGUAAUACGAAGGGGGCUAGCGUUGCUCGGAAUUACUGGGCGUAAAGGGAGCGUAGGCGGAUAGUUUAGUCAGAGGUGAAAGCCCAGGGCUCAACCUUGGAAUUGCCUUUGAUACUGGCUAUCUUGAGUACGGAAGAGGUAUGUGGAACUCCGAGUGUAGAGGUGAAAUUCGUAGAUAUUCGGAAGAACACCAGUGGCGAAGGCGACAUACUGGUCCGUUACUGACGCUGAGGCUCGAAAGCGUGGGGAGCAAACAGGAUUAGAUACCCUGGUAGUCCACGCUGUAAACGAUGAGUGCUAGUUGUCGGCAUGCAUGCAUGUCGGUGACGCAGCUAACGCAUUAAGCACCUCCGCCGUCGGGAGGUACGGUCGCGAAGAAGUUAAAACGUUAAAAGGUAAAGUUAGUACGGACGUGAGACGUCGCCGACGGACGACGACGAGGGAGAGG